AGAAUCUGAAGCAGAGAAAGAGGGAACGAACCCUCCACUUUCUCCUAAGAGAAUCCCAAAGCUCAAUUAGUGUUGUGUGCUUUAAGAUCUUCAAACACAUCCCAGGAUGAAAAUUCAGAGUGACCCAAACAAGCUACUAAUAGAUGCUACUUCUCAGCACAUAUUGAUUUGAAGUCUGGCCUCUGCCCACCAUUGCAGCUGGCCCAUAAGAAGAGUCACUCACUGUUUCUUGGCCACUGGACUAGAGCUAAAUUCCAACUUCUGAGAGUCUAGAGACACCACUGCUCAUGCACAAUGGGAUUACAGCAGGCCUGCUAUCCUCUUGUUCCCAAUGAAGCUACUCUUCAGCUGACGGUGGAAAUCCUAUUUGCUACUUUGUAGCUCUAAACCUCUGCACCUGUGUCAGUUCGGGCACCAGCUGGCCACAUCUUGCCUCCUGCCUCCUAAGGGGGGACGAGAGGGGGACCAUCAUUGAAAACCCAAACUCACAUGACUCGCCUCUUCUUCCAAGACGGAAAAACAAAACAAAAAAAUUUAAACUCACCCAUCUUAUCCCUUCCCCCAACAGGGCUGCCAAAAGAAACAAAUAAACAUUAAUUGGCUGGAGAGCCCUCAUUCAACCAAAAUUACUGAAAAACACAGUAACCGGGAAAGGCCUGACAAGGGGUUAUUCAUCCCCUUCCACAGACCACUCUCACACACAUCCCCACCCGUCCCUAUUAACUCCGCACACGCACUCACUCUCUGCGACCUCCCAGGUCCCUGCACUCUCAGGGGGCCAGGAUGGGAACAUGCCGAACCAACUACAUCAUCUCCCCUUCCUCUUCCAAAGCACUCGCACAGGCUGACUCAGGCUACGGCGAUUUUUCUUUUACAGUAAACUCAUUUCAUUGACUCCCUCCUGGAACAUUGUUACAUCCUUCUCAGUUGGGUUAAUCAGAUAUACCCUUCCUCUCCCCCCUAUAUAAAAUACAUACGUGUGUGUGUGUGUGUGUGUGUGUACAUAUACAAUUACAGCUCUGACUCAAAGCACAGGCAUACAUGUGUAAUGGUGCUCACUCUUUCUCUAUCUCCCACUCGCAGCUUGAAUUUCCCAAGAACAACAGGUUCAAAGCCUACUGGGACCUUUAGUGGCAGAUGCAAUUUAGUGGCUGGUGAUCACAGAGACUAGUACUUUCAAAACUCAGGGCUUUUGUGAACUUCCAGUAUGGGAAGUUAAAUACAAUGUAGUGGCACUGAGAGGAAUGUUUUUUCUACUCCUCAGACUGCAUAAACCCCUACACUACCUUUCCUGCACCCAUGGUUGUAUUUUCACUUCAUCUGAGGUACCUGGAAUUGAUUUCCCAAAUAUUUGAGGUGGCUGCAUGGCUGAUGCACCAUGUUGCUUACUCUCUUUGAGGAAACAGGCUGGAGCUGUGUACAAUGAAAGACAAAACACUUGAGGUGAAGUGUACUAGUCCAGGUGCCAGAGAACCAGGGUCCAAAAUCAGGGUACACUGCAUACUGGCUCUAACACGCUGGAGGAAGAUACUUAACCCUCUGUUUCUCAGUUUCCUCACCAGUAAAAUGGUGAGGAAAUAGCAGUACCUCCACCCAGAAAUGUUGGGAGGAGAGAUCACUGGACUGAUAUAUGGCAAGUGCCUGGUCCGCAGGUUGCAACAAUAACCUUUAGAGCACCAUUUUCAUUAUACUUUCAAGCAGACAACAAAGAUACAUACCAAAGGCACAGAAAUGAAAAAAACCAAAACAAAUAACUCUAAAAAAAAACCAGUUCUAGGGCUGGGGAUUUAGCUCAGUGGUUCCACCGCCUGCCUCACAAGUGGAAGGACUAGAGUUCAAUCCCUGGUACCAAAACAAGAAAACAGCUAUAAAAUUUAGAUAAGCAGAGGACUCUGUUAGGAAGAUCAGCCCUGACUAGCUGAGUGACCUUUACUACUCUAAGCUGUUUUCUCAUCUACCGAAAGAGUGGACUCAAUUCCUAAAGGAACCCCUAGUCUGGAAUUUUAUGAGGCACUGAAACAAUAACAGAGGCAUAAAGACCAAAAAAUGACACUCAUUCAGAGCACAUUCAGAGGCAUUCACACAUUACUCUCUUGCCAAACUCAUAGCAAAGGCAGGAGGCUUGGGACAACCAGGAAGA